rnacentral:rRNA from 1 species
UACAGAGGGUGCGAGCGUUGUUCGGAAUUAUUGGGCGUAAAGGGCGCGUAGGCGGUGCGGUAAGUCACCUGUGAAAUCUCCUGGCUCAACUGGGAGCUUGCAGGCGAAACUGCCGUGCUGGAGUGUGGGAGAGGUGCGUGGAAUUCCUGGUGUAGCGGUGAAAUGCGUAGAUAUCGGGAGGAACACCAGUGGCGAAGGCGAUCAUCUGGGGUUGUUCUGACACUGAGGAGCGAAAGCUAGGGGAGCAAAAGGG